UACGUAGGGCGCAAGCGUUGUCCGGAAUUAUUGGGCGUAAAGAGCUCGUAGGCGGUUUGUCGCGUCUGCUGUGAAAACCCGAGGCUCAACCUCGGGCCUGCAGUGGGUACGGGCAGACUAGAGUGCGGUAGGGGAGACUGGAAUUCCUGGUGUAGCGGUGGAAUGCGCAGAUAUCAGGAGGAACACCGAUGGCGAAGGCAGAUCUCUGGGCCGUAACUGACGCUGAGGAGCGAAAGCCAGGGGAGCAAACGGG
rnacentral:rRNA from 1 species